UUUGAUAGCCUUUGACAUGCACUCGUCCUUUUGUUGUAUUUCAGGAAAUAAAGGCUUUUGUGAGACAUGAAUGAGGAUUGUCAAGCUAAUUGAAAGCUAUGACAAAGACACUAACAAUCGAAUUUUAUGGUGGGGUUAAGAUCUGUUGCUAAUGAAGAGGAAUCUGCUGGUGCGGUUGUGAGAGGAGGUGGUGAAGACAUUUCUUCACCAGGCAAGACUGAAUGGGCAUCAGAAGAACUUCUGGAAUUUGUUGUGCACAUGAAAAAUGGUGAUAAAUCUGUUCUGUCUCAAUUUGAUGUUCAGGCUCUCCUGCUUGAAUAUAUCAGACAACUUUUAUGUAGCACUGCAGUGACUUCAGCAAUAUAUUUGAAUCAGCCAUUCUGCUGUAUAUGUAAAUGGUACCAAACAAUUCUUGUACAAUAUUCCAAUGACUUUAUUCUUUUGAAUUAUAGCAUUGUAUCAACCA